rnacentral:rRNA from 1 species
UACGGGGGGGUGCGAGCGUUGUCCGGAAUCACUGGGCGUAAAGGGCGCGUAGGUGGUCUGAUAAGGGUGUGGUGAAAGCCCGGGGCUCAACCCCGGGUCGGCCGUGCCGACUGUUAGACUAGAGUACUGUAGGGGCAGGCGGAAUUCCGGGUGUAGCGGUGGAAUGCGUAGAGAUCGGAAAGAACACCAACGGCGAAAGCACUCUGCUGGGCCGACACUGACACUGAGAGACGAAAGCUAGGGGAGCGAAUGGG